rnacentral:lncRNA from 1 species
AUUGGGACCAUCCCUUGUAGGUGUCUCUUGAAAAUGGCUAUAAAACUUCUUGUCAAAUUGGAGUACUUUGGAAUAUUUAGGAAAAGUUGGCAGAGAGGAGACAGGACUAAAGUGCAGCUCCCACUUGGAUGAACUGAACAGUGUGUGGAGACUCACAUUGUGAAUUUUUGCUCCAAGAACUACCUCAGGAACAUACCAGAAAAACCAAAAGAAUUCACAGACCCUUUGAAAAAAGUGGCUUGCCAGUGCAAACUCCAUGAGACAGCUGAAAAACUGUGCUCUCUGUACACAGAGGGUUUUGUCUGUUUGGUCACCGAUAUAUCUUCAGUGCCCAGAACAGUGCAUGGCAAUGGCAGACUCUCAACUGAUGGUUUAAAGAGGUUGUCUUUUCCAAGGCCCAUCACCUGCUUCACAGAGCUUUGACAGCCUUCAAAAGUUGCCAGAAGAAUACCAGACCACAGCAGUCUGAAAAUGCAUCCCUUCUUAAUUACCAUUUGGUUUGGAACGAGACUGACUCAUCUGUAGCCCUGGCAGCAGCAGGUCCUGGUUGGGAUGGAGGUGAUGCUGGGUCACUGGACAUGCCUGGAACUCUGCCUCUUCCUGCCUCACUCUGGAUUGCUGCUUCAUUGGGUCAUUUGGACUCAACAAAGCAAAAAUGCUGUGAACGUGCCAUUUUACUUAAGAAGCUUGACUUUGAGAGAGCCAAAGAAGGGAUGCCUACAAAGAAAUAUUCAGUGUUUCCCAUUACCUUGGCUUUACUUCAAAAGAAUCACACAUUCUACCCAAGGCUAGCACUAUCUGUGAAAUCCUGAUAUCCCUGAUAUUAAACCAUGAGAAAUAAGCCAUAUUUCCUAUCCUUCAGACACUCCUUUUGGCAGGACAUUUUUGGACAUGGUGCAUGGUAGAUGUUUGGUUUUGGGAUCUGGAUUUAACUUCUAAAUCCAUAACACCAGCUGUGUGACCUUGAAGGAAUCAUGUAAAAUGGGUUAAUGCUCUAAUUCCAGUUUUUAAAAGAAAUAAAUAGGACUAUGAAUGUGAG